GAUCCUGGCUCAGGAUGAACGCUAGCGGCAGGCCUAACACAUGCAAGUCGAGGGGCAGCAUAAAACAAGCUUGCUUGUUGGUGGCGACCGGCGCACGGGUGCGUAACGCGUAUGCAACCUACCCUGUACUGGGGGAUAGCCCGGAGAAAUUCGGAUUAAGACCCCAUAGCACUUAAGAAUGGCAUCAUUCAUAAGUUAAAGGUUACGGUACAGGAUGGGCAUGCGUCCCAUUAGCUAGAUGGUAAGGUAACGGCUUACCAUGGCAACGAUGGGUAGGGGGCCUGAGAGGGUGGUCCCCCACACUGGUACUGAGACACGGACCAGACUCCUACGGGAGGCAGCAGUGAGGAAUAUUGGUCAAUGGGCGCAAGCCUGAACCAGCCAUGCCGCGUGCAGGAAGACGGUCCUAUGGAUUGUAAACUGCUUUUAUUUGGGAAUAAACCUAUUUACGUGUAGAUAGCUGAAGGUACCAAAUGAAUAAGCACCGGCUAACUCCGUG
rnacentral:rRNA from 1 species